rnacentral:rRNA from 1 species
GGUGCUGCAUGGCCGUCGUCAGCUCGUGCCGUGAGGUGUGGGUUAAGUCCCGCAACGAGCGCAACCCCCGCCGUUAGUUGCCAGCGGUUCGGCCGGGCACUCUAACGGGACUGCCCGCGAAAGCGGGAGGAAGGAGGGGACGACGUCUGGUCAGCAUGGCCCUUACGGCCUGGGCGACACACGUGCUACAAUGCCCACUACAAAGCGAUGCCACCCGGCAACGGGGAGCUAAUCGCAAAAAGGUGGGCCCAGUUCGGAUUGGGGUCUGCAACCCGACCCCAUGAAGCCGGAAUCGCUAGUAAUCGCGGAUCAGCCAUGCCGCGGUGAAUACGUUCCCGGGCCUU